ACGGCUGAGGAAGACGGAAGGAACCUACCCGCGCGAGGGGAUACCGCCGCGAAAGCGGCGCUAAGACCGCGUACGCUCAUUCGGGGAAGAGCCGAAUGAGGAAAACCGUAAGGUGCGCGCGGAGGGGCUUCCGGCCCAUCAGGUAGUUGGUGGAGGUAAUGGCUCACCAAGCCGAUGACGGGUCGCUGGUCUCAGAGGAUGAUCAGCCAGACUGGGACUGCGACACGGCCCAG
rnacentral:rRNA from 1 species